GCCUAGGUGGCGGAAUUGGCAGACGCGCCGGAUUCAAACCCCGGUGUCCUUUGUGGCGUGAGGGUUCAACUCCCUCCCUAGGCACCA
rnacentral:tRNA from 1 species